AAAAUUUUGAGUUGCUUUUACAGUAGGGAGGCUUACCGCCACAGUAAGUACCACCAUCAUAGCCACCAUUAGGUUACUAGUUGUUUUUGAUUUGUUCUGUGCUCUCAGAUUGUCCUCUGCAUCUGUGCCAGUUUCCUGAUUUGUCCCCAUGUUGGAGGGUCUGCCUGGAUAAGCCGUAUCUUUUUCUGAGGCCUGCAGCAUUAAGAUGGGUUAAGGAAUGGAACGUUUGUGCAUCGGCAAAAGCUGCAGAAACCAGUGCAUCCGCCCUUUGAUUAAGUUAAAAGGACCAGGGAGGUUAGUAUGUGCUCUCAUAUGAGUAAUAUAGAAAG
rnacentral:lncRNA from 1 species